rnacentral:rRNA from 1 species
AUGAACGCUGGCGGCGUGCCUAAUACAUGCAAGUCGCGCGAACGGACGAGAAGCUUGCUUCUCUGAUGUUAGCGGCGGACGGGUGAGUAACACGUGGAUAACCUACCUAUAAGACUGGGAUAACUUCGGGAAACCGGAGCUAAUACCGGAUGAUAUUUUGAACCGCAUGGUUCAAAAGUGAAAGACGGUCUUGCUGUCACUUAUAGAUGGAUCCGCGCUGCAUUAGCUAGUUGGUAAGGUAACGGCUUACCAAGGCAACGAUGCGUAGCCGACCUGAGAGGGUGAUCGGCCACACUGGAACUGAGACACGGUCCAGACUCCUACGGGAGGCAGCAGUAGGGAAUCUUCCGCAAUGGGCGAAAGCCUGACGGAGCAACGCCGCGUGAGUGAUGAAGGUCUUCGGAUCGUAAAACUCUGUUAUUAGGGAAGAACAUAUGUGUAAGUAACUGUGCACAUCUUGACGGUACCUAAUCAGAAAGCCACGGCUAACUACGUG